UCCUGUUCUGAACCCCUGAACACCACCUCCACAACACCUCCUGUAUCAGACUGUGUGCUCUGCUGGACGCUGCUGUUCAGUGUGUGUCCAGUGUGUGUUCUUCUCUCCAUCAUCUGUUUGUUCUGCCUCUGUUGUAAGAAAACUACAGAUGCUGCGACAGAUCAGAAAGACAAGUUAAACGGUAGAAAUACAGCUGAGUGCGCAGAUGAAGAGGUGUGUUAUGCAUCUUUAGAUGUGAUAACCAAGAGACAAAAACAACGCAAGACAAAGCAAGUGCAGAGUUCUGACUUCAGUACUUACGCUCAGGUCAGAACACAAACUGAAUAGACCUAAAACAGAACUGAGGUGGAUUCUAAAACUUUCCAAAUAUAAGAAAAAUGCAGGUUUUAUUGUCAUGUAACAUCACAUGAAGUCAUACUGUGGUACUCAGUGCAGUACAAGUUUUUUUUUUUUUUU